GGCCGGGUCCUAUGCAACGUCGGACCAGCAAACCCCGUCAGGCCCGGAAGGGAGCAGCGGCAGUUGGAUCCACGUGUGCCGUAGGGUGCCUGGCCACU
rnacentral:SRP_RNA from 1 species